rnacentral:lncRNA from 1 species
ACUUUUAUUCCCGCGCAGAUUCAGUGAAUUUUUCCUCCGUAAUGGGAUUUGUGAGGAUUUUAGAAAUGUCCAAAUGGUGCAAACUAAAUUAGGAUUUCUAGGCGCAAACUCACUUCCCACCCCAUCAGCAUCGUCACCGCCAUCAGCUUUAACACGUGUGUUUCGCCGCUGGGCCUUCCGCCGCUGGGCCUAACGUUUCUUUCUCUGCGGUCUACGGCAAGCGAAGUUUGACAGCGCAGUUAUAUCACCACGUGUAAAACCUGCACAACGUACGCUUUACGCUUAUGUGCGCUUCAAGGACGACGGCGUGAAGGUUGUCUGCACGAAGAAAGAAUUAAGAGAUUCUCUCCGUAUAGUAUCAAAGACUUCGACAACAAACAAUGGUACAGUGUACGCUGGGAUGACGAAAACAGCGGAUAUUUCAGAGCCCAGAUUAUGAAGUUGUUUGUAACCAAAGAGGAGGCUGAUGCUUCCGCGGAAAGCUCGAGCAAGAGAUUUUCCUGCCCCCAAAUGCCUAUGGACAGCAGUUUAGAAGGCGACACCGAAGCGAGUGGAGAAUCCUACAGAAAGCACAAAAGAGAAAAACAAGUGCCAAAAUCUCGUGUGAAGGAUACCGAGGCACAGUUUAGGAAAAAACAGCUGGACCUUUUGUUUCCUCCUGAAGCAUGAAAGGGAGGAGAUUGUCUUCGGCAAGAAGUUGUGAGGCUGCGCAAGAUCUUCAAAGCAGAUUUCUUCAGCCACUCCUCGGCCAGAAGUAUCCAUUUAAGGAGGUUGACCUCGCGGUAAAAAUUGCGGACAUCAUGAAGGUACCGACGCCACCAACUCGGCAGCUAACACCACCACCUCAGCAGCCAAAUGAGGAAGGUUAACUGUAGAGGGCUCACCUCACUUGACGAUUUAAAUAAAGUGUGUUUGUGUUUGACAACUGCCUUUG